UACAACGGGUGGAGCCUGCGGUUUAAUUGGAUUCAACGCCGGAAAUCUCACCGGGGCGACAGCAAUAUGAAGGUCAGGCUGAAGACCUUACCCGAUUAGCUGAGAGGUGGUGCAUGGCCGUCGUCAGUUCGUACUGUGAAGCAUCCUGUUAAGUCAGGCAACGAGCGAGACCCACGUCCACAGUUGCCAGCAUACCCUCCGGGGUGAUGGGUACACUGUGGAGACCGCCGCUGCUAAAGCGGAGGAAGGAGUGGGCAACGGUAGGUCAGUAUGCCCCGAAUCUCCCGGGCUACACGCGGGCUACAAUGGUUGGUACAAUGGGCAUCUACCCCGAAAGGGGAAGGAAAUCUCUUAAAGCCAAUCGUAGUUCGGAUUGAGGGCUGCAACUCGCCCUCAUGAAGCUGGAAUCCGUAGUAAUCGCGUUUCAACAGAACGCGGUGAAUACGUCCCUGCUCCUU
rnacentral:rRNA from 1 species